rnacentral:rRNA from 1 species
GAUUAAGUGUCGUAAGGGCAAUUGGUGGAUGCCUUGGCAUGCACAGGCGAUGAAGGACGUGAUACGCUGCGAAAAGCCGUGGGGAGCUGCGAAUGAGCUUUGAUCCAUGGAUAUCCGAAUGGGGGAACCCACCUUAAAUGCUUGGAAAAUCCAAACUGUCAGCGAUGACGGCUUGGGUUUCCAAGCAUUGUUAAUAAGGUAUCUGCACCUGAAUAAAAUAGGGUGUAAGAAGCGAACGCAGGGAACUGAAACAUCUAAGUACCUGCAGGAAAGGACAUCAACCGAGACUCCGCAAGUAGUGGCGAGCGAACGCGGACCAGGCCAGUGGCAUCAAGGAAUAAAGCGGAACGCUCUGGAAAGAGCGGCCAUAGUGGGUGACAGCCCCGUACGCGUAGAACACUUGAUGUCCUAGAGUAGGGCGGGACACGUGAAAUCCUGUCUGAACAUGGGGAGACCACUCUCCAAGCCUAAGUACUCGUGCAUGACCGAUAGCGAACAAGUACCGUGAGGGAAAGGUGAAAAGCACCCCGACAAGGGGAGUGAAAUAGAACCUGAAACCGGUUGCCUACAAACAGUCGGAGGGCGCAAGCCUGACGGCGUACCUUUUGUAUAAUGGGUCAACGACUUAGUGUAACUAGCAAGCUUAAGCCGGUAGGUGUAGGCGCAGCGAAAGCGAGUCUGAAUAGGGCGAUUGAGUUAGUUGCAUUAGACCCGAAACCGAGUGAUCUAGCCAUGAGCAGGUUGAAGGUUGGGUAACACCAACUGGAGGACCGAACCCGCAUCUGUUGCAAUAGAUUGGGAUGACUUGUGGCUAGGGGUGAAAGGCCAAUCAAACUCGGAAAUAGCUGGUUCUCCGCGAAANNAGGGCAACAACCCUGACCUCCAGCUAAGGUCCCCAAGUCAUGGCUAAGUGGGAAAGGAUGUGAGGAUCCCAAAACAACCAGGAUGUUGGCUUAGAAGCAGCCAUCAUUUAAAGAAAGCGUAACAGCUCACUGGUCUAAAUAAGGGUCUUUGCGCCGAAAAUGUAACGGGGCUAAAGCCAUGCACCGAAGCUGAGGAUACGUCGCAAGACGUGUGGUAGCGGAGCGUUCCGUAAGCCUGUGAAGGGGUACCUGUGAGGGGCCCUGGAGGUAUCGGAAGUGCGAAUGUUGACAUGAGUAACGAUAAAGGGAGUGAGAGACUCCCUCGCCGAAAGACCAAGGGUUCCUGCUUAAAGUUAAUCUGAGCAGGGUUAGCCGGCCCCUAAGAUGAGGCAGAAAUGCGUAGUCGAUGGGAACCACGUUAAUAUUCGUGGGCCUGGUGGUAGUGACGGAUCGCACAAAUCGUACAUUCUUAUUGGAUUGAAUGUGCGGUGGAGCGGUUCCAGGAAAUAGCUCCACCCUAUAGACCGUACCCGAAACCGACACAGGUGGUCAGGUAGAGUAUACCAAGGCGCUUGAGAGAACUAUGCUGAAGGAACUCGGCAAAUUGCACGCGUAACUUCGGAAGAAGCGUGACCCUUAUGUACGCAAGUAUGUGAGGGUGGCACAGACCAGGGGGUAGCGACUGUUUAUCAAAAACACAGGGCUCUGCGAAGUCGCAAGACGACGUAUAGGGUCUGACGCCUGCCCGGUGCUGGAAGGUUAAGAGGAGAGGUGCAAGCUUUGAAUCGAAGCCCCAGUAAACGGCGGCCGUAACUAUAACGGUCCUAAGGUAGCGAAAUUCCUUGUCGGGUAAGUUCCGACCUGCACGAAUGGCGUAACGACUUCCCCGCUGUCUCCAGCAUAGACUCAGUGAAAUUGAAUUCCCCGUGAAGAUGCGGGGUUCCUGCGGUCAGACGGAAAGACCCCGUGCACCUUUACUAUAGCUUUACACUGGCAUUCGUGUCGGCAUGUGUAGGAUAGGUGGUAGGCUUUGAAGCAGGGACGCCAGUUUCUGUGGAGCCAUCCUUGAAAUACCACCCUUAUCGUCAUGGAUGUCUAACCGCGGUCCGUUAUCCGGAUCCGGGACAGUGUAUGGUGGGUAGUUUGACUGGGGCGGUCGCCUCCGAAAGAGUAACGGAGGCGCGCGAUGGUGGGCUCAGACCGGUCGGAAAUCGGUCGUCGAGUGCAAUGGCAUAAGCCCGCCUGACUGCGAGACUGACAAGUCGAGCAGAGACGAAAGUCGGUCAUAGUGAUCCGGUGGUCCCGCGUGGAAGGGCCAUCGCUCAACGGAUAAAAGGUACGCCGGGGAUAACAGGCUGAUGACCCCCAAGAGUCCAUAUCGACGGGGUUGUUUGGCACCUCGAUGUCGGCUCAUCGCAUCCUGGGGCUGGAGCAGGUCCCAAGGGUUUGGCUGUUCGCCAAUUAAAGCGGUACGUGAGCUGGGUUCAGAACGUCGUGAGACAGUUCGGUCCCUAUCUGCCGUGGGUGUAGGAAUAUUGACAGGAUCUGUCCCUAGUACGAGAGGACCGGGAUGGACAUAUCUCUGGUGGACCUGUUGUCGUGCCAACGGCAUAGCAGGGUAGCUAUAUAUGGAAUGGAUAACCGCUGAAGGCAUCUAAGCGGGAAACCAACCUGAAAACGAGUGUUCCCUAUCAGAGCCGUGGAAGACUACCACGUUGAUAGGCCGGGUGUGGAAGUGCAGUAAUGCAUGAAGCUUACCGGUACUAAUAGCUCGAUUGGCUUGAUCGUUCUCAUU